UGCGUAGGCGGCUUUAUAAGUUAGAGGUGAAAUCUCGGGGCUCAACUCCGAAACUGCCUCUAAUACUGUAGGGCUAGAGAGUAGUUGCGGUAGGCGGAAUGUAUGGUGUAGCGGUGAAAUGCUUAGAGAUCAUACAGAACACCGAUUGCGAAGGCAGCUUACCAAACUAUAUCUGACGUUGAGGCACGAAAGCGUGGGGAGCAAACAGGAUUAGAUACCCGAGUA
rnacentral:rRNA from 1 species